GGUUGGAUGAGUACCUUUAUAACUGAGGUGGUUGUUUCUCUUUUCUCACGAGGAUGUCUUCCCACCGGAGAUGAAGGAUGCACCCGACGAACUCUCUGUCUCCUUUCUUUUUUUUUACCGAUGACGAUCGAAGGGUUGCCGGCAGGGGUUGUACGACUGUCACAGGGAGGAAGAUUAAAAAAAAAAGAAAAAAGAUAGUGUUAGGAUUUGAAUAUUUUAGUCAUUAGAUUAUUUUAAAUUAAUAUUAAAUUUUAUUUUAUUUUAAAAUAAUUUAAUAAACAUACAUCAGUCAUCUAACUCCAAAUAAUAAGUUACAUGGC
rnacentral:lncRNA from 1 species